GCUUCCUACCACAGUCAUAUUUCCUGUGUGAAAUGUGGGCUUCCACUGAUCAUUUCUCUGUCACUCUAACCUUCUUCAUAGUAAGAAUGAAGAACAUUAUUUAGGUGAUGCUCCAGAGAUGAAGUGUUCUCUAGGCUUCGUGACUGUGGUACUCUUAAUGCUUGGACAAACCCGUGGAGACUCAGUGACUCAGACAGAAGGCCAAGUGACCCUCUUAGAAGAAGCUUCCCUGACUGUGAACUGCACUUAUUCAGCAUCAGGGUCCCUUACUCUUUUCUGGUAUGUCCAGUAUCCCGGUGAAGGUCUACAGCUCCUCCUGAAAGCCUUGAGGGGCAAGGAGAAGGGAAGCAACAAAGGAUUUGAAGCCACCUUUGACAGCAAAUCGAAAUCCUUCCACUUGGAGAAAGGCUCAGUGCAAGCCUCAGAUUCAGCUGUGUACUACUGUGCGGUGACUGACACAGUGAUGGGGACUUGGUCUUGUGGUCAUCCUUGCAGUGAACGUCCAGCCCCACAAGUUGUUCAUUGCACCCUGGUGGGAGAUCCUGUGUCUUAUGACAGUUUUAGAGAGACACAGUGUGACCAAGAAGGUGGUGAUGCCCAGUGUCUUCCUGACAGAGUAUGGGAGGAGAGGUGA